rnacentral:rRNA from 1 species
UGGGGAAUAUUGCACAAUGGGCGGAAGCCUGAUGCAGCGACGCCGCGUGGGGGAUGAAGGCCUUCGGGUUGUAAACUCCUUUCGACAGGGACGAAGCUUCUGUGACGGUACCUGUAUAAGAAGCACCGGCUAACUACGUGCCAGCAGCCGCGGUAAUACGUAGGGUGCGAGCGUUGUCCGGAAUUACUGGGCGUAAAGAGCUCGUAGGUGGUUUGUCGCGUCGUCUGUGAAAUUCCGGGGCUUAACUCCGGGCGUGCAGGCGAUACGGGCUGACUUGAGUGCUGUAGGGGAGACUGGAAUUCCUGGUGUAGCGGUGAAAUGCGCAGAUAUCAGGAGGAACACCGAUGGCGAAGGCAGGUCUCUGGGCAGUAACUGACGCUGAGGAGCGAAAGCAUGGGUAGCGAACAGG